AUGAUUGAAGCUUCUUCCUUCAUUUGGGCUCUCCUCCUUCUCACCUCUGUCUAUCAGACAUCUGACCAACGACAUAUUUCUAGUGUGGGAGAUAUUUUUGAGAGUACAGGAAAUCCAGAGGUGGAUGAUGUCCUUUCAAAGAUCCCAUUUGACAUCGGAGAUGUAACGAAUCAACAAAGCGUUAAUGUGACGACGGUAAAGAUUCAGCUAUGUACAGGAAUAAAAGAAGAGCUGGGAUCCGUGAAGAUGGAGCUUGAGCAAACAGCUCGCCGUUACAAUGAGCUGGAUGAGGAGACCUUGGGGUUGAGGCGCGAGGUCAGGCAGCUUCAAAUGAGACUGUCUACAUGCAGCUCGACCGCGUCGGCCAUCGCUGGGUCCUACCAAACCCAGCUGCAGAUAAAAAUGAACCAGCUGCUGGAAGUUAUCAACAGUGAAACAUUUCAAAUUCUGAAAAUCAUGGCUCUCACAAGGGAGGUGCAAGUUUUGCAGAAGAAAAUUCAACUUGCUUCUAAAAAUACCAAUAAAACCAGUGAGAUGAGAGCUCUGCAGAGAGAACUUCAAGAAAAGGUUGUGGAGCUGAACUCAAAGAGAGAGCGAUUCGAGAACAGCCACUCAAAUGCUGCUCUUAUUCUACAGAUAAUCUCACUGCAAAGCCAGAUCUGGGAUUUAUAUCAAACUGAGGCAAAGGGGGGAGCUGCUGUUCAGCCAGAUCCGAGCAUUCUGGCUCUACAAGAACAGCUCAACAUGAAGAUCAAGGAAUUGCAAAGCAAAGAGGAGACCAUCACAGCUAUGCUGGAGAUGAUCUCUGUGCACAGUAAGAUCACAGUGAUCCAGAAAAUGAUACGACACCUCACAGAAGAAUCCAAGAACAGGAAUGCGGCUCUCCUUUUGCAAUGGAGACAAAAAGGUGAGUUGCUGGCAAAGAAGAUUUCCCAACUGGCGGAUGAUGCAAAAAACCAAGAACUGACCAAAGAAAUUCUCAAGCUGCAGUAUGAGUUGGGUCAACUGGCCAAGCUUUUAAACGUUAAAGAGACCGUGGAAGCCCAGCUCACAGCUAAAACAGUUGAACUGGAGGUAGAGAAGUCACGGGAGGAAGCUCUGCAGAAAAAGCUGGAGCAGACAGACUAUGCUACAUCACAGCUGAUCUUCAAGAUCAUUAGCAUCAUGGAGGAGCUGAGGGAACAGCGGAUUGUGGCGCCAACAGGUGAAACCCAGGACAUUUUAACUCUCCUACAAACCUAUAAAAAAGACUAUGCUGAAGCCAAGACUGAAAUAAAGGAUCUGAAGGAAAAAUUGGAGAGGACGCAAGAGGAGUGUUCAGGGCUUGAAGAAAGACAUGAAAAGUUGAAGACGGAGCUUGAGCAGAAGAUCAUGAAACUCAACAGAACGGCGGAUUCCAAAGCAGCUCUCGUUCUAAACGUGUUAAACCUGUACGGAGAGAUAAACGCUUUGAGGGAGCAGAUCUCAAAGUCAGGUGAACCAGAAGUGCUUCUAAAACUAAGGAGACAGUUGGAGCAGAAACAAGACGAGCUGAACUUGAAGACGGCAGAGAUUCAGAGACUGGUUUCUAACCCACAAACAAUGUUAACAAUUAUUGAUCUGCAGAAUAAAAUCUGGGAUUUUCAGAAAAAAGACACAAACUGGACAAAUGAGGAGCUUAAAGCUUUGCAAACAAAACUGGAUUCUUUGGUGGAUGGAAUAGACAGUGAUGGUGAAGAUAACACAUUUCAGGCACUAAAAAUCCUGACACUGCAGAGUCAGGUUGAGUAUCUACAGAACCAACUGUCCAACCUGAAGCUGUCGCACAACUCCACACAAACUCAACUCCAAAAUGAGCUGGCGGCAAAAGAGAAUGAACUGAAGCGUUACAUCUUUGAAAUGAUGGAGAAGGACCAGACAAAUGGAAAACUUAUUUUAGACAUUGCUGAACUCCAAAUCCAACUCAAUGAAAUCGAAAAACAAAAGGAAACGGAAGAUAAAACGAGUGCUGCAACAAUUUCCAAGCUGACGAAGCAACUGCAACUCCAAGAGGAGGAAAACAAUCAAAAUAAAGCUUUGAUUAUUACCCUGCAGAACAAGAUAAACCAGAGAGAAACGCAAUGUUCUGAAUACGAGAAGAAAAUUAAAGAUCUCCAGAAUGACAUAAAUACAAACCUUAAGGAACUCAAAGGAAAAUCUGACACCAUAAGUUCACUUGUUCUUCAAAUUUCUACGUUAAGUGUGGAAGUGGAGCAGCUGGGAAACCAACUCCAGAACUCUGUGUCCACAUCUAAAGUGGAAGAAUUAAAGGCAAUUAUAGAGGAAAAGAACAAAGAACUGGAACAAAAAGCUGAAGAACUUAAAGAAAGGAGUCCUGAAGCACAAAGACGUGAGCACAACCCAAACGAAGCACCUAAAGGGGCCAAAAUUAUCUAG
rnacentral:lncRNA from 1 species